AAAUACAUACAUACAUAUAUACAUACGUACAAAACAAUAUAAUUUUUAACCCAAAGCUGUACAUACUCUUUUGCAGCCUGCUCAGUUGUGUCACUGAUCUCUACUUUUUCAGUACAUUUGCAUCUAAUCUAAUACCCUUAUCAUAUGCAGGUUUCCCCAGGUGAUCUAAACAAGUCCAUUAUUGCUGUUUGUCUAACCCAGUAUCCAAUCCAGAACAUCAUGUUGCACCUGGAUGUUUUGCCCCCCAAGUUUCUUUUAAUCUGGCACAGUGACUUGUUGAGGAGAUGGGCCAGCGUCCCACAGAAUACAUCCGCCUUCUGGGUUUCCUUUAGGUUUUCUCCAAGAGGCCAUCUGGCAGGUUCCUCUGUGUCCUUUAUUUGCUAUAAGCUGGAAGUUAGAUCUGGAGAAGAUGUGUCUUGAACUGGACAUAUUGUAUUUAGAGGUCUGAGACAAUAAAGAAUUCGCCAUAUCAUGUCCUAGCUGGUAGAGAAGCAGACAUAUGUAGGGGAUUGAGAUGUUUAUUUGUGAUCUUUAAGUCAAGAGAAGGACUGUGUAUGGAAGGUUGCCCAGGUUACUAACAGCCCUUCUCACUCGGGAUCCCUCUGUGGACAGUGCUGCAUAUAUAACAGGACUGAACACAUGGUAGACACUCUAGAUAUUGGUGUGUAGGUGAUAAAUAAACACCUGGUAGGUGGAAAAGAGAGCUGAGCAAUGGAGAGCUGCAAGGAGGAAGCCAAGUCUGGCCAUAGGGGAAAAAAAUGCUAAAAGGAGCCUUAAGGGGACUGGAUACACUAAAACUCCUAGAAGAAAACAUAGGCAGAACACUCUUUGACAUAAAUUGCAGCAAUAUUUUUUUGGACCCGUCUCCUAGAGUAAUAGAAAUAAAAACAAAAAUAAACAAAUGGGACCCAAUUAAAUUUAAAACCUUUUGCACAGCAAAGGAAACCACGAACAAAAUGAAACAACAACCUAUGGAAUGGGAGAAAAUAUUUGCAAACUAUGCGACCAACAAGGGAUUAAUUUCCAAAAUAUACAAACAGUUCAUACAGCUUAAUAUCAAAAAUCCAAACAACACAAUCAAAAAAUGGGCAGAAGAUCUAAAUAAACAUUUCUCCAAAGAAGACGUACAGAUGGCUAACAGGCACAUGAAAAGAUGCUCAGUAUCACUAAUUAUUAGAGAAAUGCAAAUCAAAACUACAAUGAGGUAUCACCUCACACCGGUCACAGUGGCCAUCAUCGAAAAGUCUAUAAAUAAUAAAUGCUGGAGAGGGUGUGGAGAAAAGGGGACCCUCCUACCCUGUUGGUGGGAAUGUAAAUUGAUGCACCCACUAUGUACAACAGUGUGGAGGUUCCCUAAAAACUAAAAAUAGGGUUACCAUAUGAUCCAGCAAUCCCACUCCUGGGCAUAUAUCUGGAGAAAACUCUAAUUCAAACUCUAAUUCAAAAAGAUACAUGCACCCCAAUGCUCAGAGCAGAGCUAUUUAUAAUAGCCAAGACAUGGAAGCAACCUAAAUGUCCCUCAAUUACUACUCAGAAUAUUAGCUGUAAAAAAUAAGGGCUUCCCUGGUGGCGCAGUGGUUGAGAAUCCGCCUGCCGAUGCAGGGGACACGGGUUCGUGCCCCGGUCCUGGAAGAUCCCACAUGCCGCGGAGCGGCUGGACCCGUGAGCCAUGGCCGCUGAGCCUGCGCGUCCGGAGCCUGUGCUCUGCAACGGGAGAGGCCACAACAGUGAGAGGCCCGUGUACCGCAAAAAAAAAUUAAAAUAAAAUAAUGCCAGCAACAUGGAUGAAUGAACCUAGAGAUUAUCAUAUUAAGUGAAAUAAGUCAGGCAGAGAAAGACAUAUCAUAUAAUAUCACUUAUGUAGCUUCUUUAAAAAAUGAUACAAGUGAACUUAUUUAUAAAACAGAAAUAGACUCACAGACAUAGAAAACAAACUUAUGGUUACCAAAGGGGAAAGAGGGGGAAGGGAUAAAUUAGGAGUUUGGGAUUAACAUAUAUACACUAUUAUAUAUAAAAUAUAAUAAAUAAACAACAAGGUCCUACUGUAUAGUAUAGGGAACUAUAUUCAAUAUCUUGUAAUAACCUAUAAUGGAAAAGAAUCUGAAAGAGAACAUAUAUAUAUGUAUAACUGAAUCACUUUGCUGUACACCUGAAACUAGCACAACUUUGUGAACCAACUAUACUUCAAUUAAAAAAGAAAAGAAAAAAAAUUGGGAUAAAAAGGAGUCUUAAGGGCCUUUGAUCCAGAAGGGAAACAUAUUGAAAUUCACAUGAAGCCAGUAAACAUGCAAGAAGAGAGUAAUCAAGGUUAGAUAAUAAAAGAAAGUCAGCUAGAUGGCAAUAUCCUGAAUACUGCAGAAAAGAGUACUACUCAAAAAAAAAUUGAACAAAUAAGGUUUUUUUUUCCCCUUAAACCUCAGGGGGAAAUAAAAUCUUAACUUUGCUGGGCAGUGAAGACAGGAAAAGAAUUAAUAUUUUUCUGCUCAUAUAUCUGUUUAUGCAACUCUGAUUUUCUUUUGGGCACCUCAAAAUUGAGUUGAAACUUUCUUUGACAAUAACACUGACUGAAAUUGCAGAGUUAGGGUACUUAAAAUGGAGCUAGCUUUUUGGAUUAAAAAAAAAAAAAGAACUGCGUGGAAAUCGGAGAGCCUUUGUUUAUACCUAUUUUAAAUUGCUUUACUCUCUUGAACAUAAUGUGUUGAACAACCUUUAAUUCCUUUAAAAGCGCAUCUGUUACAACACCUGAGCAAAUUUUAAAAUAAAAAUAGUUUAGUGAGAAAGAGGGAGAUUGAAUGAAUUAGUGAGGGUUGAAGGAGUAGUUCCAGGGGAAAAAAGAUAGAUAUGGAUUCUAAGGAUAGGAAGUUCUGUUGAUUUUGUGACAUUAGAAACAAUGACAAGUUCAUGUAAUAGGAAAUUUAAUUGCUUAGUUUGUAUAAUAUUUAUACACCUGGCAAAAAGGUAUAAAGGGCAAGAAGAAAAGCUAGAUUUUGGAUAGAGGAGACAAUAUAGAAGAAAUAAUACUGAAAGAGCAAACAUAACUCUUUUUAUGUCUUGAGCUCUAUGCUAAGCAUUUUUCACAUUACUUAUUUCAUUUAAUCUUCACAGUGACCACAUAAAAGAAGUACUGUGAUGAUCUUCAUUUUACAGGUUCAGAAGUUGAGACUCAGAGACGUUAAGUAACUUGCCCUAGGUCCCCGGCUGGUAGGAAGUGGAGUAUUGGGUUCAGACCUGCACAGUUCGGCUCCAGAACCUGUGUUUCUAAUCGCUCUACAGGCUGCCUUGUUGGGAUAUCAGAGAGUAAAGUACUAGCUUAGAAAAGUAAGAGGAGAAUGUGGAAAACUAAUGACGAAAAAAUCGGGUAGGACAGCUGGGCAGAGGGGAUGCAGAAGGACAUAAAGAUGAGAGUAAUUACCGUGCUGUAGAUAAUUGGAGGGUAACAACCUAAUAAAAUUAAACAGUAGGAGACAGCAGAAGCAAAAAAAUUGCUAUGAGAAAGGUGACCAGGAGCUCCUAAGUGAUGUAUUGCUGCAAGGAAACUGGCUUGAGCGUGCAGGGCACAACCUAGCAUAGCAGGCUUCAGCUAGAGUGGGGAAGGAUGUCCACCACCACCUCUCACCAGUAGGCAGGUGAUAGGUGCGCUGCGGGGUGAAGUCAGGCAUCUCCUUAGAAAGGUUGAUGAGAAGCGCUGGGCUGCAUCUGGGUAUUUCCUUCAAGUUAUUGUUAUACAGUCCAGGUAGCUGCCUCGAGGUGACAAGAUAGCUUAUUAAUAACUUGUGACUCCCCAGAAAUGGGUAAUUGGGAUAACUUAAAGACAUGAUAAUAGACAUGACUAUAGCUGUUAAUUACACUAUUUUCUUUACAAAAUGUUUGUAUUAAAAUAAUUGAAUUUUCCAAAUUAACUUUUAAUUUUUUAAAUGUGUAUAUAAUUUUGGUGUAAACUAUAAAGGAAUAUCAUGACUAGGCACAAAUGGGUACCUUCUUGCACUCAAUUCUUGUCAUUUACUACCUAAUAAACAUGUAAUAUUCUCUCAUUCCUAAACUACAGCUCUACUAGAAUUCUCUUUGUAAGACUCCCUGCACCACCUGGCAUAAUAGUAGUUAGGUAUGACCUCCUCUAAAAAUGAAUUUGCUUAGUGUUUGCUAUUAAACAGCAAAUUCUAGUCCCUAGAAUAGUAAUUCCAGUGGAUGUUUGCCAGCUCUCCUCUCCCUCUCUCCCUCUCUCCCUCUCUCCCUCUCUCCCUCUCUCCCUCUCUCCCUCUCUCCCUCUCUCCCUCUCUCCCUCUCUCCCUCUCUCUCUCUCACACACACACACACACACACACACACACAGACAAAACUCAUUUAUUCCCAAAUAGUUCUGUGGUCAAUUGAUUUGAGGAAAUCUGGAGUUAAAUAACAUGGGUUUCUUUACCACAGGAUUAAUCAGAUCCUCUCCUAUGCUGAUAUGCAUUUUAAGUCUCCAAGAGAGAGAGUAUAAUUUUCAUAUGUACCUGAUCCCAGAGCACUUUUUCUUGAAACAUCUGAUGGGACUAGUUCUGCUAGUUGGGGGCUGCUAGAAUUCAGUCACUUCCACUUACAUCCUCAACUUCCCCAAGGAACCAUGAAGCCUUUUAUUCAGGACAGCCUGCUCGUCUUUUUCUGAUUCAAAAUGCAGAACACUACCAUUUCCCUCCUGUUCAACUGGGAAGAACAAGGACAAAAUUCUGCCCUUAUACGCCAACUCCAUCAACUUCUACUCUGUGCCUGUUUGAAUAGUGAUCCAUUUGCUUCUCUCAACCUGCCCAGACACCUAGGUGGUUUCUAUUAAAAAUAAAGCUUUUUAGACAUACAGAUGGCCAAGAAGCACAUGAAAAGCUGCUCAGCAUCACUAAUUAUUAGAGAAAGGCAAAUUAAAACUACAAUGAGGUAUCACCUCACACCAGUUAGAAUGGGCAUCAUCAGAAAAUCUACAAACAACAAAUGCUGGAGAGGGUGUGGAGAAAAGGGAACCCUCUUGAACUAUUGGUGGGAAUGUAAAUUGAUACAGCCACUAUGGAGAACAGUAUGGAGGUUCUUUAAAAAUCUAAAAAUAGAAUUACCAUAUGACCCAGCAGUCCCACUACUGAGCAUAUACCCAGAGAAAACAGAAAACCAUAAUUCAAAAAGACACAUGCACCCCAAUAUUCAUUGCAGCACUAUUUACAAUAGCCAGGUCGUGGAAGCAACCUAAAUGUCCAUCGACAGAUGAAUAGAUAAGGAAGAUGUGGUACAUAUAUACAGUGGAAUAUUACUCAGCCAUAAAAAGGAACGAAAUUGUAUCAUUUGUAGAGACAUGGAUGGAUCUAGAAACUGUCAUACAGAGUGAAGUAAGUCAGAAAGAGAAAAACAAAUAUCGUAUAUUAAUGCAUAUAUGUGGAAUGUAGAAAAAGGGUAUAGAUGAACUGGUUUGCAAAGCAGAAAUAGAGACACAGAUGUAGAGAACAAACAUAUGGACACCAAGGGGGGAAAGUGGCGGGAGUGGUGGUGAUGAUGGAAUGAAUUGGGAGAUUGGGGUUAACAUAUAUACACUAAUAUGUAUAAAAUAGAUAACUAAUAAGAACCUGCUGUGUAAAAAAUAAAUAAAAUAAAAUUCAAAGAAAAAUAGUGGCCAUUUGUGGAUAGUCUUCUAUAGAUGUAUUUUCAUCUCACUAGAUGAGGUCAUUAGAGAAUCCCAGCCCCUCUUGGGAGGGAUGGAAUUCCAAGGCCAUGGCUCCAAACAUGCCUAAGGACACUGGACCAUCUUAAAAAUGAGGCAGCUUCGCAUAUGUAGGCCUGCAGAUGAUUCACUAUCAACUGUCUAGGGUGGCAGCUGGGUGUCCUACUGUGACUGCAAACUGGAUAGACUCAACAACUCUGCCAAAAAAAAAAAAAGUCUUACAUUGUGAGAUCUGGCUCACCCACGGAACCACUUCUGUAGUACUUUACAGAUUAUAAAACCUUUCGGUAUACAUAAUCUCAUUUCCUGUGCUCCUGAUGGUACUAUGAAGGCUGGAGCCUUGAGAACGUUAACAGAUGUCUGUGAACCUCAAAUGGACGCCUGUGUCUAACAAAGAGGGGUCGCGGUAGGGGGUGAGGCUCUGUCAAAAGUGUCACGGAGAGCAGGAAAUCUCUCUAAUGUAGAUUGGACACCGAGUGACCAGUAAAUAGGAGGGGAUCCUGUAGUCGGGAAACCUGGGAAGUUUCUAAGUUGGAAUGAGGAGGCAGUGGGGAAAUAGUUUUGCCUGAAUGUGAAGGGGAAACUUGAGGCUCUGGACAUACAUUCUACGAAGCUGGCAGAGCCGUGAGGUGGAGCUUCCUCAAGACUGGCAUUGGCUAGGAGGCAGCAUGUUAAAUGACCACAAGAGCCCAUUCUAUGGGUCAGGACCUACAUGGCAAAGCUAAACAUCCCAUCAUGAGCAUGGCAGCACUUCCCUGUGUGUAAUUUCGAUCCUGGGACUAGCACGCAUUCCGAGAAGCCAGCAGCGUGUGGGCCUCAGCUAUCAAAGAGGAAAAGGGGGAAAAAACCCGCAAUGGCAGGCGGGCACAACUACCGAAAGGAUCAUGGCAGUCAGGGAUCAGGAUCCCCCAGGAUGUUUCUGUUGAGAAUUGCCUUGUAUCAAACCCCCUUCCCUUCUCAACUGUCUCUGGCCUCUCAGAAUCCUGAUAUGGAACAAUGUUUUCUGAAGAAUUUAUGUGACUGCGAAUUGGAGGGUCCUGGGCGGGGGGGGGGGGGGGGGGGGGGGGAAGCAAAGAGUAACAACCCAGAUAAGGAUGCAAAGGAUGUAACUGAUGGAGAGCAGCUUUUAUGGGAUAUUAUGCAGCUGACAACAGGGCCAUUGAACUCAGCCUCUUAUCUAGACUUGUGAACUUGUGGAUGCACAUUUUAGCAUAUGUCAUAGCCUCCCAGCUAUUCCGAAAGUGGGUGUCUUCUAAGGGCAGGUAAUAGUUAACGAUGUUAAUUGCCAAGUUUUCUCGUUGCAGGCCUGGGGUUGAACACUGACACAAUUAUGGUGUGGGUUUAGAUGAGAAAGUUUCAAAAACAGAGCUCCCAAACUCAACCACUACCUUCAAGUAUGGUAUUUUAAAUCCAGGAGUCUCUUUACUGUUUUUAAUCACCAAAAAGAUGGGAUAUAGCUUGCAGGAAGGACUCUAGCUUGGUUAAUAUUACUGUUGUGAGAACUGAUAAAUAAGACUGAGCUAGAUUCCUCCGUAUUUUGAAAGUUAAAGGAAUCUGUCUACAAGCCCUUGUAGCUCAUCAGCAUAUACAGACCAUCACUGUGUUCUUUGGCCAUAAAUGCUCUGACGUGUCUGGGGCCAGUCUUCAGAAUAUGGGACAUUUGGGAUUAUUCUAACCCCUUGACAAUACAGAGGUAUACAAAUGCUAAGUUAUCGCUGUAGAAGUCAUUAGAGAGGCUUUCUAAAGUUUCUACUUGUGUUCUUUUUCCAUAGGUAUGUGGUGUCGUGGGAAAAAUUAAUGUAGAAAAAAAAGCUUCAUUUGUACCUUAAAGACUGUAAUAUUUAUUGACAGAUUUGUUUGACUAGAUGAGACUUACAUGAGGGGAAAAAAAUAAAACAGCUGCCUUCUAUAUAAAUUUUACCAAAUACCAGCAUGUAGUUUUUAUUUGACCAUCUUUGUGGUGAUAAACUGAAGCAUCGAGGCAAGAAGCAGUAAGUAAAAUGCUCAAAACGGAGCGCAGGUGUAAACACCCCUGGGUCUUAUAAAUCUCCCUGUAAAGCCCCUCAGAGCGUUUCUCUCUUUGCCCAGCCUCCCCGGAUCCCUUCAGUCUACACUACAUCGAUGAGCUGCCUGUUGGGUCACUGUCAGUGGCAGGGAGGCUUCUGCAAGCCACACCUGCCCCCUUCUCCCCCGGCAUUCCUGGCAGCCUCUGCUGCAGGUUGACUUAGGUAAGAUGAGGAAAGAGAACUAGGAAGCCAAGGGGCGGCCAGCCCUAGAGGAUGGAGGCAGGGUUGGCUGGCUGAGAUGCCCAGCUGUUAGUCAUCAGAGUCUCCGUCUCCAGCCCAAGGUAGCGCUGGCGGCGGGUACUGUGAGCGGCCAGGUGGGGAUCGGUGGGCAGAGGCCUAAUAAAUUUUCAUCAAGCAUUCCAAGGCUUUGAUCCACAGUGAGGAGUGGAUGGUGAUAGCAAUUUAUUACCAUAUGUCACUAGCGAUGUAAAUAACCAAAUAGAAAGAGUGGAGAGAAAAGAGAGUAAAUUUGCUACAUUUAGAAUUUUAUAGUUUUUUGUUUGGCUUUACAGAUCAUCCAAGAUCAAAGGGAUCAAAGUGUGGACUUGACUAAGUUAUGUGAAAUGUCAGGAAAUUAAUGCUAUAUUAAAACAGAUUAAUUUGAAAGGAGCAGAAGCUCUUGCGAGCCACAAAUACCAAAAACAGAAAACACUUGCUGUGAGUGGUAGAUUCUUAGGAAACUAAUUGUUCCUAUUAUGUCGUUCUUUUUUUUUAAUUAAUUAAUUUAUUUUUGCCGUGUUGGGUCUUCGUUUCUGUGCGAGGGCUUUCUCUAGUUGCGGCAAGCGGGGACCACUCUUCAUCGCAGUGCGUGGGCCUCUCACUAUCGCAGCCUCUCUUGU